CGUUAGUCUGACUUAACCAUGUAAGUCGAGCGGUAGCACAGGUGAGCUUGCUCCCCGGGAUGACGAGCGGCGGACGGGUGAGUAAUGUCUGGGAAACUGCCUGAUGGAGGGGGAUAACUACUGGAAACGGUAGCUAAUACCGCAUAACGUCGCAAGACCAAAGAGGGGGACCUUCGGGCCUCUUGCCAUCAGAUGUGCCCAGAUGGGAUUAGCUAGUAGGUGGGGUAAUGGCUCACCUAGGCGACGAUCCCUAGCUGGUCUGAGAGGAUGACCAGCCACACUGGAACUGAGACACGGUCCAGACUCCUACGGGAGGCAGCAGUGGGGAAUAUUGCACAAUGGGCGCAAGCCUGAUGCAGCCAUGCCGCGUGUGUGAAGAAGGCCUUCGGGUUGUAAAGCACUUUCAGCGAGGAGGAAGGUGGUGAGCUUAAUACGUUCAUCAAUUGACGUUACUCGCAGAAGAAGCACCGGCUAACUCCGUGCCAGCAGCCGCGGUAAUACGGAGGGUGCAAGCGUUAAUCGGAAUUACUGGGCGUAAAGCGCACGCAGGCGGUUUGUUAAGUCAGAUGUGAAAUCCCCGGGCUCAACCUGGGAACUGCAUUUGAAACUGGCAAGCUAGAGUCUCGUAGAGGGGGGGUAGAAUUCCAGGGUGUAGCGGUGAAAUGCGUAGAGAUCUGGAGGAUUACCGGUGGGCGAAGCCGCCCCUGGAACGAAGACUGACGCUCAGUGCGAAAGCGUGGGGAGCAAACAGGAUUUAGAACCUGGUAGUCCACGCUGUAACGAUGUCCAUUUUGGGAGGUUGUGCUGAAGGCGUGCUCCCGGAGACUAAACCGUUAAUCGACCCGCCUUGAGGAGUUACGCCGCAUAGUUUCACACCUCAUUACUGACGGCCCGCACAAGCGGAUGACCUUGGUCAUUUCAGUUGCACACCGGA
rnacentral:rRNA from 1 species